rnacentral:misc_RNA from 1 species
UUUGUCAACGGGACAAAUCAAGACCGGAGCUCCCUGCAGAUCAGAACGUCUUGCUAAGUACAACCAGCUCUUGAGAAUUGAAGAGGAACUUGGUUCAGAUGCUGUAUAUGCCGGAGCAAGCUUCCGCGCCCCUGUUGAACCGUACUAACUUGCACUCUCUUGGACUGACCAAAUUCCCAGUGUGGAAAUGGUCAUUCUAGGACUUGCGAUCGAUUUUCGCGUUGAAACUUUUAACAGUUAUUGUUCUGAUGUUUUGAGCUUUGACAAUUCUGAACUGAGAAAUAAUUCUCGUAGGCAGAGCGGAUCUUAUUUUUAAGUUCUGACUGCUGGUUUUGUAACCGGGACUGCCGUUAGUAGUAGUACUUCAAGAUUUUGACUUUUUUGGUUUUGCAUGUCAUCAAAGAUUUUUCCUUGCUAUAUUGUAGCACAUUG